rnacentral:lncRNA from 1 species
CCGGGAGUAUUCCAGAGUAUCGAUUUUCCACAGGGAACGUGAGUGUACUAAUUAAGAUCCAAGAUCGCCCAAGGAUAACUAUAUAAUUAUUUUUGGUGGGAAGAGAGGAAGUUUUCUGAGAGUUCUCUAGUUGAUCUAAGAAUCAAGAAUUACUUCAAGAUUAUCUAUAUCGGGACAUCAGAGCACUAACCACAGAAAGAGAUGAGAAGGGGGCUAGGAAGGUCUGCCUACGGUCCUACAAACACCGAUCCGAACGUGGUGGAAUACGUCGACCAUUAGGGCUGUCACUACCCUAGGGCUACCACAACAAUCCGUGGGAUUGGGUGCAAUUCCAGGUAAUCGCAAGACUAAACAGCACGUUUAAUCUAUUAAUUACUACUCUAAUGUUUCAAAGAUUAGAGCACUUGAUGCAAGCGGGAAUCCAAUAAAUAACUUGAAUGUAAAUAAAAGUAAUUAGAGAACUCAGGAGUUAUGAAUUGAAGAACCUGGAGAACGACGAAGAACGAACCAGUUGCUGCAAAAGUACAAUGUUGAGGAAGAUCCGACAGAUCCGGCUCCUCCUCCGCUCUCCUCUUCUCUCUCCCUAUUUUCUUGAUUACAACUAGAACUUACUAGAACUAGAACUAGAGGAACUAGAACUAGAACUAGAUGAACUAGAACUAGAUCUAGAUGAACUAGAGGUAGAACUAGAAGAACUAGAGGGAUCCUCUCUACUUGGAUGAAGAAUUGAAACCCUAACUUUGAUUCUGUAGAAGAGGUAUGAUCUCUAGGGGCCAGGGGGGUCUGGUUUUAUAGUCCCUUCAAGUGAAUCUGGGCCGUCGGAUCAAACCGACAUUGAUCGUGUGGUUUUCCUUGAAGUAUUAGGUCGGUGGAGCAUGAUCCCCGAACUUCACCCUGAUUGGUCCAGGGGGGAGGGCGGGCGCCCUCAGGACUAGGGCGGGCGCCCAGUGCCUGAGCCCUCUCGGCCUCCGCUUCGGUCUCGUGGCUUCUGGAGUCUUCUAGAUGGUAGAUAAUUGUGCGGCACGUUAAUAUCUCUAUGUAAACCCGACGUGUGGGCCUUUCUUCCGUAUUUCCUGAUAACCCCCUGCAGAAAUAGACAAACACCAAAACUUGUGGAAUUCUGUCAGAUAAAACCCUAAGUCUAGGUGUUGGUUGCAUUUGGAUCCUUUUCUAUGAUUAAUUGAUGGUUAAAUAUGAGCAUUAAGGACCGUCAACAAGCUCCCCAAGCUUAACCUUUGCUCGUCCCUGAGCAAAGAUGUACUCAAGAGUUUCUGCAGUGGUUUCAUAACUUAAAGAUACACAUGCGUUUAAACAAGAUCUUAUCUCUGGUUAGAGUAAACUGUUAAGACUUAAAACUUACUCAUUUACCUUUCACCAUAGGACUUGUAACCGUCACUUCUGUCUUGAGUAGUUAAAAGAUAGAACAGUCUUGUCAAGCACCAUGUCUCUUGUUCUUCGAUUAACUAUAGCUCUGAAGUUUUUGUAGAUUUUCAAAUAAAACUCAGAGAUUCCUUGUAUGACUCUCUCUAGUCUCUCUUUUGUAGUAUUUCUGGAUCCUUACCAAGGCAGUAAUGGUGUAUGCCUUCUCUCAAAGUAUGUGGUAUUUUUGGUAUGAGGCAUAGUGGUAUUGCCUUCUCUCUACUCUAAUAAGGUUUUGAUAUCUGGAGCUCAUAGGUGGGAGACAACUAAUACAUACUUACAAGACAUUUAUUGCAUAGUCAAACUAUGGAUCCAGAAGAACAAGUCAAUAAGUCAAAUCAAGAUGUGCAUGUGUGGCGAAUGAAUGGUGAUAACAAUGGUGAUGAUGGUGCUAACAAUGGUGAAAGUCUAAUUCUAAUUGUGCUCUUUUGAGGGGAUACAUACCUUCCUUGCUAUUUUGAAACUUUUGGGGAGAAUGAGAUGCUCUAUAUUUUCUUUUUUUCUUUUCUCUCAGGUGGGUAUCUUGUACCCCUAAUUCUACUGUCGGACACUUGUCCAUUUUUACCUCUCGUCUCACUUUUUUUUUCUUUUCUUUCGAGGUUUCGGGCACUUGCCCCUUUUUAUUUCCUCAUAUAUUUUUUUUUCUUCUCUUUUUUUUAGAACACUCAUCUCCUGAAAUAAUAUAGCAAGUGGUAGUAACCAAGAUAACUUGAGCAUUUAUUUCAUAGGGAAAAACAGAAAUAGGAGAAUGUUUUUGACUAUUCUCUCCCGGAUUAGGAGUAGAAUAUUUUUGGGUGGUUCUGGAGAUGGACAUGAGUGGAUAUAUGUGGAUGGUACUUCCGGAGUAGAAGUAGCAUGUAUGAGUGAACGUGCAAGUGAAUCUUGAUUUUAACCACAUGACAAGCUCCUAAGGGUCUACACAGCUUGACCACACUCAAUGCUCAUAAGUAGUAAAGUAAAUGUGUGGUUCAAAGUUUAGCAAGCAUGUAUAUAUGGCUGUGGUAGGAAUUUAAACUCUCAUCAUACAGGAACUCAUCAUGCAACAUUUUAAAGAUUUUCAAAGAUAAAAUUCUCCAGAAUUCUAGCAUCUCUAGGAACAGAUAAACAGCAGCUCAACCUUCCCAUAUCAUAUCCGUUAACGACUUAGACUUUAGAUCAAGUACUCUCCCCACAGGUUAAGGUUUAGAGCAAAACUUAAUUCAUAACUGUCAAGCCUAAACUUGAGAGAGAUUUUAAUUUUGAGAACUAGUCAUGGCAGAACAAUUAUUCAUCAUUUCCAUGUGAGAGCUAUCAUGAGGGUUCAUAGCAAACUUUAUUUAUUUAUUUAAUUAGCAAACUAAGCAAAGAUAUAUAUAAGCACGAAAUCUUUAUUUGGGUUUUUAUGAUUAUGCAACUUUUUAUUAUUUGAGUAAAAUAUAAACAUGAGUUGAACAAUUAGCUGGAUAAAUGGGGGUGCUCUCCCCCAAGCUGGAUUUCGACGUAGUUUGUUCUAAUGUAGCUAGCAAGUGGUGGAGGUGUAUUUGAAUGUCAGCAGCACCCUGACAGCGAUUAGGAUGUCCUCCGUCUGCUAGUCUUCUUUGAUCCUUGAAUUCUGUGGAGCUCAAAUAGACAACAAAGCUUUGUGGAACUAGUUAAGUGUUAGCAUAAAUAUCUAGCCUUUAUCAUGUUGAGCCUCCUCAAUAAAUGUUACUCUCUUUAGUAGGAUCAUAAUCUUAUUUAUAUUUUCAUUUUUAUAGGACAGGAAGAUAUAUUUAUUUUUACGCCACCACAGUGAAUGUACUUAUGGGUUUUAUGCCAUGAGCAUACUCACAUGGAGCUUACUAUUUUUAACAUUUUUAUUUCCUUUUUAAGAUGAUGUGAACCUGAUUAACUAAGCAAACUAUUUCAAAAUAAUUGAAAGGACAAAGAUAACUACCAAGUUUACCUCUUGGCACGACGUUCGGUAUUUUUAAGUCCUCUGAACGGGACUCUCUGUUUUCUCAGUCGUCCUGGGAUUCGCUAGAUUGCGUAGUCGGUGCUUCCGGCGGCACCUCCUCUUCGUGUAUAGUUAUCUUCUCUCUACACACCUGACUCGGUGCUAUGGUCUCCUCAGGACAGUUCUAUUCAAGAUGUAUGUCUUCAGACCUCACUACUUCUCCUUCGUAGUCUGCCCAUCCAUCCUUGAUGAUUUUCCUCCUCUGGUUACGGUUGCGUCGUCUUCUUCUUGUCCUGACCUUCUUAGAGUCUUCAACUAUAUAGUUAAGGUCAGUAAAACAACGGCGUACCUUCCCAGAGGGGAAGUGCAUGUGAACUUCUCUGGUUCCUAUGUAGAUGAUUGCUUUAACGGUGCUGAGGAACGGUCUUCCAAGAAUGAUGGGUGGAUCGUACUCGUCUUCUCCCAUGUCAAUAACCUUAAAAUCAUCUGGUGCUGAAUGUAUGUUGGUUGUAGGGGCAUUGUUCCAUGCAAGAGCGGAUAAGUGACUGCGGCCAUUAUAUUGACGUCACAUCCGGUGUCGUAGAGUGUCUUUUGAAAAGAAUAUCCGUUGAUUGUGCACUCGAUGCUUGGAACACCAGGGUCGUCCUUCUUGAUCAAGAAAGGUGACUUGAGUUGACGAUCUUGACCUCCUUGAGCUGCAGUGACCAUCUUAGCUGACUCGGUACACAUUUGCUUGUUCUUGUUCCUCCUGUUGGUCCUCUUCCUUGGUUCAUGUCGGGAUUGCUCUGGGAUUUGUGUAGUCUUGUUUCUUGAAGGAAAACGUCUCCUUCUUCCCCUUGAUGUAGAAACUGAUCUUGGCAGCACUAGCGUAGAUGAUAGCUCCCGAAGUGUUUAGGAAUGGCCUCCCUAGAAUGAUGGGUGCCCUCUCAUCUGUACCAGUCUCUAUCACCACGAAGUCUGCUGCGGCUUACAAGGUACCAACUCGGACGCAGAGGUUCUUCAAUAUUCCUUUGGGCAUAAUGUUGACGCUGGAGCCAAAGUCAUAGAGUGCUUCUGGGAAGUCCACCAUGCCGAUGGAGUUCGCGAUGACGGAGCGUCCUGGAUCGUCUCUCUUGACCGGCAAAAGGUCAGUGAUUACUUCCACAACGGGGUUACUCCAGUAGUUACGUCCUCAAGCAUCUCAGGGCAGUGAUUGCCUGAGUGUCCAGUAUCUCCAGUGUGUUUGUGCUCAUAGAUCUAGGUUCUUCACUUGGUGGAGUCUGGGAGUUCUCAAAGUCCUUCAUAAUUUACUCGAAGUGUACCUGCUCAUAGAGACAAGGCAGAGAUCAAGUGCAUGGGCCCUGUUGGUGGAAUACACCAACAGAACCAAAAGUGUAUUUCUUCUUCUCUGACCUUAAGCAUAGUGAGCAAGACAAAGUUGAUGGAUAAUAAGAUCAUGAGUAUAACAUUUAAAACAUUUGUCAGAUCAGAUCGCUCAACCUAAUGGAAACAUAAUCUAUCUAUACUUAUGUUUUUUUAUAUAUAUAUCUUCCAAAGAUUGAGUGUGCAACAUUUUAGUUCAUAUGAUUAGGAGUGUGGGAUCACAAAGGUGGAAGGACUAAACAUAUUGAAUCGAUUGGGUUGGUUAAUCUAGAGUUGUAAAUCAUACAUGUUUGUCUCUUUUAUUUAUGUGAACGCCAGAACCAAGGAGAAGCUUAUAGAAGUGAUAGUCAAGUACCUUAAGAUGUUACUUGAAGAGUGAUGGUACAGUAUCACCUUGUGGAAGCUUUCCUCUCUUAGCGGUUGUGCAUCGUGUUUGUGGCACCCUCCAUGGAUCAUCUCUUGUGAGCUAUGUCUUCCUUAUGUAAAUUGUUAAACUUCAUGUGUCUCUCUCUUUGUCACCAAUGUGAGUUUAUCUCAGGACUUCCCAGGUCGAUAUUGAAAGUUUUCCUGCAGGGGUUAGUCCAACAAAAUAUCCAAUAUCUACUAUAGUAUACUAUCGGCUCAAAGAUCAACCUAGACACCAUGUCUAAUUUGAUUUAGGAGGGAAUUUUAACCUAAGCAUCAUGCUUAAUUUAAAAUCCUUUGGAAGUAAGAUCAUCAUUCCUAAACUAAGCACCAUGCUUAAUUAAGAGAUAAAUGAAACUACUCCAAACCUAGACAUAUACUAAAGCAAAUAAAGGUAGCAUGAGAGCAUUUAUAGAGUUCUACUCAAGUGGAGAUGAAGUAGUGUGAUUAGUAUUUAACAAAUUGAGCAUGUCUCAAAGGUAGGGACAACCAACAUAGCAACAUGGCAAAUGAUGUUUUUAUGUAAAGUACUCCCCCAAGCUUGAAUUUUUGCAAAAUUCAAGUUUGGAUGAAUUUAAUUCAAUGUUGUAUGAUGAUUGGUUGGACAUACCUUGUGCUUGUCAUUCAUCCGAUCUUCUUGCUCCAAUCCUGGAAAGGUUAGUGACAAGAAUACCCAAAGGAAUAUUUUUACAAUUAUCCUUAUAUGCUCAAAACACAAGGUAAUGUUGCAAAUAAUUAAAAGCUCAUGUUAUGAUCUGAUCAGUGCAUGUUUUAGGACACUAAGCUUGUCCUUGGGAAACCAUCAAUUUAUGUCAGUGAAGUGGUUUCCCCUCCAACGCUGACCUAUAUCGAGAUCAACUCAACGAGAUCUGCAAUAUUUAAUAUAGACAUAUGCAUCGACAACCGUCCUUUUAAAGUUUUUAUAAAUAGAAAGGAAGAGGGGGUUGGAGAUCUCGAAUGUGGUGAUGUUGGAGAGACCAAUGGAUUGUGAAGAUGUUGCAUAUGAGCAUGGAGUAAAUGGAGUGGCUAUAAAAUAUAUUCCAUGCUCAUUAAUGCUUAGAGUGAAAUCCAUGUGGUAUGGUGAAAAUGGUAAGGUGAGUGUGGUAAAAAAGGAAAAGAAAAAGGAUACACGGACGACUUGGUUCGAAACUAGCACAGCUACCGUUCCCCGGCAAUGGCGCCAGAAAGCUUGUUGGGUAUUUUAAACGCAAACAGAAAAAUCCGCAAGCGCACGGAUACCGAUGUAGCCUUCACCCGGGAGUAUUCCAGAGUAUCGAUUUUCCACAGGGAACGUGAGUGUACUAAUUAAGAUCCAAGAUCGCCCAAGGAUAACUAUAUAAUUAUUUUUGGUGGGAAGAGAGGAAGUUUCCUGAGAGUUCUCUAGUUGAUCUAAGAAUCAAGAAUUACUUCAAGAUUAUCUAUAUCGGGACAUCAGAGCACUAACCACAGAAAGAGAUGAGAAGGGGGCUAGGAAGGUCUGACUACGGUCCUACAAACACCGAUCCGAACGUGGUGGAAUACGUCGACCGUUAGGGCUGUCACUACCCUAGGGCUACCACAACAAUCCGUGGGAUUGGGUGCAAUUCCAGGUAAUCGCAAGACUAAACACCACGUUUAAUCUAUUAAUUACUACUCUAAUGUUUCAAAGAUUAGAGCACUUGAUGCAAGCGGGAAUCCAAUAAAUAACUUGAAUGUAAAUAAAAGUAAUUAGAGAACUCAGGAGUUAUGAAUUGAAGAACCUGGAGAACGACGAAGAACGAACCAGUUGCUGCAAAAGUACAAUGUUGAGGAAGAUCCGAUAGAUCCGGCUCCUCCUCCGCUCUCCUCUUCUCUCUCCCUAUUUUCUUGAUUACAACUAGAACUUACUAGAACUAGAACUAGAAUAACUAGAACUAGAACUAGAUGAACUAGAACUAGAUCUAGAUGAACUAGAGGUAGAACAAGAAGAACUAGAGGGAUCCUCUCUACUUGGAUGAAGAAUUGAAACCCUAACUUUGAUUCUGUAGAAGAGGUAUGAUCUCCAGGGGCCAGGGGGGUCUGGUUUUAUAGUCCCUUCAAGUGAAUCUGGGCUGUCGGAUCAAACCGACAUUGAUCGUGUGGUUUUCCUUGAAGUAUUAGGUCGGUGGAGCAUGAUCCCCGAACUUCACCCUGAUUGGUCCAGGGGGGAGGGCGAGCGCCCUCAGGACUAGGGCGGGCGCCCAGUGCCUGAGCCCUCUCGGCCUCCGCUUCGGUCCCGUGGCUUCUGGAGUCUUCUAGAUGGUAGAUAAUUGUGCGGCACGUUAAUAUCUCUAUGUAAACCCGACGUGUGGGCCUUUCUUCCGUAUUUCCUGAUAACCCCCUGCAGAAAUAGACAAACACCAAAACUUGUGGAAUUCUGUCAGAUAAAACCCUAAGUCUAGGUGUUGGUUGCAUUUGGAUCCUUUUCUAUGAUUAAUUGAUGGUUAAAUAUGAGCAUUAAGGACCGUCAACACAAGGGCGCCUGCCCUGCUCCCUCUUGCUCCUAUAAAUAGCCACCUUCUACCUCCAUCUUCUUCACACAAGCACUCUAGAAAACCACACAAGUAUCAGUUUCCAGAAAGAGCUCUUGUAGUGAAGAGAGGAGAGAGUAGAGAGAAAGAGAAGAUUGGAAAAGAAGUUGAUAGAGAGUGAAUGUCACUUAGCAAGUAGUGAUCCCGUUGUCUAAGCGGAAGUAAAAGUUGUUUAGGGGGAGGUUCUGCUAAAAUAGAAAACUUAUCUUGAACGACUAACCCCUGGACUACUGACAUUCCGGACAGCUGACCACUAACAUUUUCUCUCACAAUUUCCACUAGUUGUGCUUUUGCCAAGUUUUGUUUACAGGAUGUUUAAGAAGGUGAGGAAUGCAGGGAAGGCUCUCAAGAACAUUGGUACAAGGAGUUCAGCUCGACACUCCUCACAGCCAUCAGAGAUGAGCGUCGACCCGACACCCACACAAGCUCCAUCAUCCUCAUCAGGUCAGCAAGUUAAGGUCCUUCUCAAGAUAGGAGACCUAGGACUGAAGACCCGAAGAGAGAAGGAAGUCUAUCAGCAGUUGAAGAACAAAGAUUUCAUUCACACCCCUACUAUCGAUCCAAUCUUACUACAAGGAACAGGUAUGGACACUGAAUUUGACUUAAUUUUCCAGAUGAUAGGCUGGACAAAUUUUUGGAAUAUAACUGAGCUAGGUUCUCGUCUUCUCACCCUCGAAUUUCUUUGCACUUUACAAUACUAUGAGGGGGGAAUUGUUUUUUGGAUGUUCAAACAGGAAAUUAUGUUGUCUUGGAGAGAGCUGAGCGACCAUCUUGGUUUCUCUUCAAGAUGCAUCCUGAACAUUGACUCCGAUUUACCUAACUUUGAGAGACACCAGUUUUGGAGAGAAAUAUCUAGAGAUAAUUUUUAUAGUCAAGCCCGAACCAGUGACAUGGAACACCCUACUCCUAGGAUGUUCCACAAAUGGCUUAGGUACAAUCUUUUCUAUCGUGAUGAUAUUAGGAAAGUAAGAGUAGGAGAUUUACAACUUUUAUAUGCUGCUAUUAAUAAAGUACCUACUUCACCUGUUACACUUUUGGUUUCACAUUGGUUUAGUGUACCUAGUCUUCAGGGACCAGUAGGAUGUACUUCACUUAUCACUCGUCUAGCCAUUAAUCUUCACUUACUAGAAAACUCGUCAUUGGACUUCAUAGAUGAAUUAAGAAUUUACCAUGGCUAUGACACAUUUAGACAAGCUCGGAUGUUAAAGAAAGAGGGGAAUAUAAUAUAUAUGCUAUAUGAUGAUAAAGGCAAGAUUCGGUUACCUAACCCGAACCUUGGCCUAUACGUUGUCCAAAAUUUUUUGAUUGAGAUUUCAGCAACACCAGUGAACCAGAGAGCUCCACAGCGAGUGGCAUCUGAAAGGAUGACCACCCAUCGAGAACGCACCUGGUAUGGAGCUGAUCCUGGACUAGAAGAAGCAGCGCACCUGCAUUAUUGCGAUUACAACCCCCGAGUCCUUCGAGACCCAUGGGUUCGUCAUGCGCAACCACAAGAGCCAACAGAGGAGACAUGGCCGGAGAGCCAAGAUCACCAGUGGACAAACCUGCCUUUCCAUACGGGCAGGUAAUCCACUGACCCAUAUGGAGCUUCAGGAUCCAGACCUCCGCCCCAAUUUGAUGCAGGACGAUACUCCGAUGCCUCCUACGCCUUCACGAUUGACUACUAUCAAGAGGCCGGUGCUUUCUUCACUCGUACCGACAACACUCUCCUCGACAUCCAGAACACGCAAGCAGAACAUGGAAGACUCCUGGAAGAGCAACAAAAAUGGAACCAGGACCAUGCCGCUGCAGUAGAAGAGCUGAGACAAGAUACAACAACAAUGAAUGACAACAUCACAACUAUGAUGCGGCUCUGGAACAUCGGGUAAGACCGACGUCAACAUCCAGCUUGGGGGAGUUCCUCCCCAAUUUAUCAAGUAAGUUUUUAUUUGCUCUUCUUAUUUAUUCUUUUCUAUUUUAGUAUUUUAUCUUAAAAGGAAAAAACCUAGAAAACCCAAUAAAUAUUUUCUUGCUUUAAUCUACUGCAUUCUAUAAACAUGAAAACAAAAUAAAAAGAGUGUGUAGAUAAGUGUGCUUUAUUUUCCUGCUAAGUUUAAUCUCUAGAAAAAACAAAAAGACCAAAAAGAUGCAUGAUGGAAAUGAUGAACAGUUGCUCUGUUUGCUUACUUACAAGUACCUAGCUUUUACAUUAGAGUUCUUCCAGGAAUUACUAAAACUGAAUUUACUAUCUUUGGGAAGCAUAAAACUAAAGUCUAGGUAAGAGAAAGACAUGAUAUAAAGUUGAGCUACUGUUUAUCUUGUUCCUACUACACUAAGUUCUGGAGAUUUAUUUUGAAAACUUGCAAAUCACAUGAUGAGUUCCUAGCAUAACCAUCUACCUACCACAGCCAUACUUGCUAUAACAUCUUUUACUAUAUUUACAUUGAGUUUGAUCGAGCUGUGUAGACCCUUAGGAGCUUUUCAUGUGGUUAAAUUAAGAUAUUCACUUGCACACAUCUACUACACCAUCCAUCACCACUCAUUAAAAUUGCUAAAAAUAUUAUCACUCACUGUCCCAAAUAUUGUUAUUCUCUCUCUCUAAAAAGAUUCAAUGCAGAAGAGGCAUGGGUUAUGCUAAAAUAUGCGAGGAAAUAAAAAGGGGCAAGUGCCCGGAACCUCGGAAAAGAAAAAAAAGAGUGAGACGAGAGGUAAAAAUGGACAAGUGUCUGGAGUAGAAUUAGGGGUACAAAGAUGCCCGCUUGAGCGGAAAAAAUGGACAAGUGUCCGACAGUAGAAUUAGGGGUGUCUACUACCCACCUGAAAAAAAAAGAAAAAGAGAUGGCCCAUGUUCUCCCAAAGCAAAGAUCAAAGAAGAGGAGAAAUAAGCAAUAUGAGGAGAAUUGAGAACUAAGUUUUAUUAUCGCUUGUAUAUCUUCACCAUCACUAUCAUUUACUCCAUCACACAUGCACAUCUUGAUUUAAUUAUAUGCUGAGUUCCUUUGGAUCCAUGGCUCGAUUAGACAACAUAUGUAUUAGCUGUUUUUCACUCCUAUGAGCUCCACUUAAAUAUUCCAUUAGCUAUAGGUAAGUGAUAUUUUGGUAAGGAUCCACAAAUACCACAUAUAGAGAGAUUUGAGAGAAUCAUUGCUGGGAACUCUGAGUUUUAUUUUGAAAAUUUAUGAAAAACUCUGGAACAAAGGUGAAGUAUAGACAGGAGGAAUAGUGCUUGACUUAAUUAUUUUGUCUUUUGAUUACUUAACACUUAGGUACAGGUACUAAACUUCAUGACACUUCACUCUAAUCUGGAAGAAUUUUAUAUAAAAGCAUGUGUGCCUGUCAGGAAAGAAAACAUCGAAGCAACUCCUGAUCCAUCUAAGUUUAGCUGUUUGCUCAGGGACGAGCAAAGGGUAAGCUUGGGGGAGUUUGUUGACGGUCCUUAAGUACUAAAAUUAAUAAUCAAAUAAACAUGAAAAAGGAUCAAUAUGAAACAAACAUCUAGAAUUAGGGUUUUAUCUGACAGAAUUCUACGAGCUUUGGUGUUUAUCUAUUUCUGCAGGGGGUUAUCAGAGAAUAUGGAGAGAAGGCCCACAUGUCAUGUUUACAACGAGAUAAUUACGUGCCGCGCAAUUUUCCUCAAUCUAGAAGAAUCCAGAAGCCACGGGAACGAAAGAGAAGGGAAUCGGGCUCGGGGGCAGGGCGCCCGCCCACCCCCCUUGGGCGCCCGCCCAGGCCAGGAGUCCAAUUAGGACUCUGCUUCGGGGCUAAACUCCACCGACCUAAAGGAUCAAUCUAAACCAUACAAUCUAUGUCGGUUUGAUCCAAUGGCUCACGUUCACUUGAGGGGACUAUAAAACCAGACCUCCUGGCCCCUGGAGGAGAAGAGAAGAAAUCAUUAUUCAGAGGUAGCCAUCAAAGUUAGGGUUUAGAGCUUCUCUCCCACAGAGAAUUAGAAUUAGCUACUCCCUAAUCCUUCAAGUUUAGAGGUUUGAUUGGAUAGCAAUUAGAGAAGUAGAGCACUAUGCUCUGGAUUCGGAUCUUCGGUAAUAAAGAUUGGUAUUAUUCAUAUCUUUCUCUAAUUGUUUGUUCUAAUCGCAUUAUAUCUCUAAUUAUUAUGUUCUUAGUUUGUUCUAGUUCUAUAUUUGAUAUAGUUCUAAUUGAUAAUGAGUUUAUGUAUAAGUUUGCAAAGCGCUUAGCUCUUGACGCGAGGGAGUUAGGUGAUAGAUCACAUGUGAGCGUGGUGCUUAGAUGUUAUUUAUCUGCAAAUGUAUCCUAUUGGUCGGGUCGUGUGGUAGUUCACGAUAGUGACAGCUUCGUUGAUUCUUAUAUAGUCCACCCUCCGUUGAUAGGUCAGGCAGAACCGGUAUUGUGGAGUAAGUCAUGCGAUGCUCUGAUUUACUUUAUCAAUGUUCCUUAUACAUGAAUGAAGAGUCUUUUAUGCUAUAUAUGAUCUUGUAGAUAACUAGAGUAGAUUAUGACUUAGUAGUUAGUAGAUAACUUAGAAUCCAUUCUCUAGCUAAUCCAACAUCACCUACAUAUAUGAGGAGUAGUCUAUUUUCUAAUCACUGUGUUAUCUACCCAUGAACUUAUACUUUAUUAUCAUUAUCUUUAUGGUUUACCCCCUACUAAAGAAAAUGACUGUGUGACGAGUUUCUCAUUAGUAAUCAUGUUCUUGCAAGUUUAUCUCUAGUCUAUGCCUUGAUAGAUUUUGCCCCUUGAUUUAAUUUCAUCUUCCUUAGAUCCCUAGAGCAAAAUUAUAAAUAACGAUACCUGGAAUACUUAUCCUGGUGAAAUGCUACAAUGAGGUGUUUUAUCUGUGCGCUUGCGGAUAGAAUAGAUUAUUUUCUAGAGAGCCUUUAUAUUUAUAAAUACCUUUGUACAGUCUGACGCCAUGCUAGGGAUGACAACCUAGUAUCUAAGUGGUGUUAGCUAGUGUCAACACGGUCCUUCUGGAUGUAUAACUUAUCAAGACUAGAUCCAUCAUACAUACCUGAGGUCCAUAGGUUUGUUGAUGCUGCUAAGAACCAUGCUUUGAGAACAAAGACGAAGCACAUAUAUUGUCCAUGCAUCGACUGCAGAAAUAUUAAUAUUUUUGAAGAUACUGAAGCAAUCAUUUCUCAUCUGGUAUGCCGAGGAUUUAUGAAGGAUUACUUGAUUUGGACAAAGCAUGGAGAGGGUAGCUCGGCACCUUAUACAAUUGGGGACCCUGCGAAUAUAUAUUGACGUCGACGGUCUAGACAUGCCUGAUGAAGGAUUUCAGUUUUUGCACGACACACACCAAAGUGAACAUGUUGUGCCAAAUGUUACUGCUGGUGGUUUUGCUGGGAGAAAUGCUCAUGACAGAACUCAUGUCUUACCAAAUGAUACAGCCGCGGAAGAUUUUGAAUUCUUAGAGGCAAUGUUGCAUCGUCAUACUAAACCAUCAAUGUUAUUAAUGAAAGGGAUGGAGGCCUUGAAGAAGGUGGCUGAAGAGCCUCUAUAUGAUGAGUCCAAGGGUUGUACCAAAGAGUUCACGACGCUGAGAUCUGUGCUAAAACUACUGAUGGCAAAAGCCAGGUAUGGUCUGUCUGAUGUUGGAUUCGAUAUGUUCUUAAGUAUUAUCAGAGACAUGCUUCCCAAGGAGAACAAAUUGCCUGCUAACACGUACCAUGCAAAGAAGCUGAUCAGUCCGCUCACUAUGGGUGUCGAGAAGAUCCAUGCGUGUAGGAAUCAUUGUAUCCUAUAUCGCGGUGAUGAAUACAAGGACUUGGAUAAGUGUCCAAAGUGUGGUGCAAGUCGGUAUAAGACAAAUAAAGACUAUCGACAUGAGGAUUGUGCUGCCUCCAUGUGUACAGCAGGGAAGAAGCGAAAGAAGACCCAAAAGAAGACCCAGCAGAGUUCAAAACCCACCAGCAAAGAUAAAGAAGAGGUUGAUUAUUAUGCGCAGAAAAAGAUUCCUGCUUUAGUGAUGUGGUACCUUCCAGUGGUAGAUCGACUGAGGAGUUUGUUUGCUAACCCUGACGAUGCAAAACUUAUGAGUUGGCAUGCUUCGGAUGAGCACAAAAAUGAUGGCAAGCUUCGCCAUCCAGCCGAUGGAAAGCAGUGGCAAGAUUUUAAUGAGAACCAUCAAGACUUUGCCAGCGAACCAAGAAAUGUUAGGUUUGCACUGAGUACCGACGGAAUGAAUCCAUUUGCUGAGAGGAGCAGCAAGCACAGCACAUGGCCGGUGAUUCUCACCAUCUAAAACCUUCCUCCAUGGUUGAUGUAGAAGCGAAAAUACCUUUUGCUAACCAUACUUAUCUCUGGACCAGUCCAACCUGGAGUUGACAUGGAUGUUUUCUUGGAGCCCUUAAUGGAGGAGAUGAAAAUGUUAUGGAUACAAGGUGUUGAAAUGAUGGACGAGUAUCGCAAAGAUUCAUUCACACUAAGAGCAAUUAUUUUUGUUACAAUCAAUGAUUACCCUCCUCUCUUCACAUUGUCAGGGCAAUUCAAGGGAAAGGUUGGUUGUGUGGUGUGCAUAGAUGGAACCCAUUAUGUGUCCCUUAAUGCAUCUAAGAAAAUAGUGUACAUGAGGCAUAGACGCUUCUUAUCAAAAGGGCACAGGUACCGCAUAAAAAAGAUGGAUAAGUACUUCAACAAUAAUGAUGAAAGGAACUCAGAUGCACCAUCAGGUAAUAGCAAAGGCCAGAGAGUUUUCAAAAUAGUGAGCAACAUCAACUUUGUGUUCGGAAAGAAGACAAAGGAUGGAAAACCAAGAAAGGAUGUCAAACCAACUCCAGGGGCAACAUUCAAGAAGAAGUCCAUUUUCUUCGAGUAUUUGCCAUACGGGAAAGAAUUGGACAUACGACACGCGAUCGAUGGUAUGCACGUCCAGAAGAACGUGUUUGAAAGCCUAAUUGGCACAUUGCUGGAUAUCAAGACGAAGACAAAUGAAGGACUCAAUUCACGCUUCGACAUGGUACAGUUAGGUAUAAAAAAAGAGCUUCAUCCUGUUCUUCAAGAAAAUGGAAAGUACCAUCUCCCAGCAGCAAGCUACAACCUCAGCAUAGAUGAGAAACAUGUGAUGUGUGAGUGGUUGAAGAAUUUGAAAGUCCCCUCUGGAUUCUGCUCUAGUAUACGAAGUAUUGUGUCAAUGAAAGACCUUACACUCACCAACUACAACUCACAUGAUUAUCAUGUAAUGCUGACUACUUUCCUCCCUAUUGCAAUAAGGGCUAUCAAUCCAGUGUUCUUGAAGAUGGCAGUCACACGAUUGUGCUAUUUUUUCAAUAAGGUCACACAAAAGGUAAUUGACCGUGAUGAGUUAGAAUCCCUUCAGGAAUUCGCAGUGGAGACAGUGUCACAGUGAGAUGUGUUUUCCCCCAUCAUUUUUGAUAUCAUGGUGCACCUUGUGGUGCACUUAGUUCCUCAAAUACAAGCAUUGGGUCCCAUCUACCAGCAUGAAAUUUGGACGUACGAGCGUUUUAUGGCAAUAAUAAAUGGCUAUGUAUCCACUCGUGCUCGUCCUGAGGCAUCCAUGAUAGAGGGGUACUGUACUGAAGAGGCAAUUGAGUCCGGAGGACCCUUCUGCAAUAGUGUCCUGAAAGACCAGGUCGCAAUAGGUUUGCCUCCAUCAAGGCAUGAGGGUAGGCUGCAUGGAAGUGGGAGGAUUGGACGGAAAUCAUUCAUCCCGCCAGAUUACAAUACAGUCCUUGAGGCACAUCACAGCAUCUUACAUCAGCUCUCGAUAAUGGAGCAUUUGCUCGGUCAACACUUGAAUGAGCUUCGAGAACAUAAUCCUGGGCAAACGAAUGAUUGGAUAAUGAGGGAACACAAGAAACAAUUAUACACAUGGCUAAGGGAGCAGGAUAUUCCAUGUGGGAAACAAUUGAGGAACAAACCAUCAAGGCUUUGGCAUCUGCACGCUAAGUGACAACAUGGCAAACCUAUGACAUAAGUGGAUUCACAUUUUAUACCAAAUCCAAGGAUAAAAAGAGCAUGACACAAAAUAGUGGUGUUCGAUGCGAGGCCAUAGACGACGAAACUGGUGAUAUUAUUACAUACUUUGGCUUCAUCGAGGACAUAUGGGAACUAGACUAUGGUACAUUUCGGAUCCCCGUGUUUCGAUGUCAAUGGGUAGAAGAUAAACAUGUCACAGUGAUAAUUAUGGGGUCAGAGUUCUUGAUCUAAGUAAAGUGGGAUACAAAGAUGACCCGUGGAUCCUUGGUAACCGUGCUGCACAGGUGUUCUAUGCUGAACACAUCCUUUCUAAGAAUGAGAAGAAAACUACUGACAAGCUGAAGCAUGUAGAUUUUCUAGGAAAGCAACAAGCAAUAGGAGUUGAUGGUGUAGCGGAUCUAGAUGAUUUUAACCAGUUCAGCGACAUGUCCAUCUUUGUGGAUGACUAUCCUGCUAAGAUAAGAAAUGUUGAGCGAAGCAUCUCACAAAGUUCUUUGCCUUGGAUGCGCGCUGAUGGACAAGGAAGAAUAGUAACUGCCUAGAUUGUAAUUGUCAUUCAUCAUGUAAACUCUAGUCAUCAUGUAAUCUCACUCAAAUUUAUGAAACUAUAUGUGAGACCUUUCGAUUUAGAACUACACUUUGGUAACGCUUUGUCAAAUAAUGUUACAAAUAUAGAAAAAUUAUAUUACAAAUAAUGUAGAAACAAUAUAAUCAUAUUAUAAUAUAGAUUAAAUAUAUGAUACAAAUAUAUUUUACAUUAAAAAUAAUGUAGAAACAAUGUAAUUAACAAAUAAUGUAGAAACAAUAUAAUAUACAAAUUAUUUUACAUUAUGUUACAAAUAAUAUAUAACACUAAAAAUUAAAAAUAAAUUUAGAAACAAUAUAAUCAUAUUAUAAUAUGAAUAUACAAACAAUAUAUAACACUAAAAUUAAAAAAGAAAUUUAUCUACAAUAUAAUCAUAUUAUAAUAUGAAUAUACAAACAAUAUAUAACACUAAAAUUAAAAAAGAAAUUUAUCUACAAUAUAAUCAUAUUAUAAUAUCAAUAUACAAACAAUAUAUAACACUAAAAUUAAAAAAGAAAUUUAGAAACAAUAUAAUCAUAUUAUAAUAUCAAUAUACAAACAAUAUAUAACACUAAAAUUAAAAAAGAAAUUUAGAAACAAUAUAAUCAUAAUAUAAUAUCAAUAUACAAACAAUAUAUAACACUAAAAUUAAAAUAGAAAUUUAGAAACAAUAUAAUUGAAAAUCAUUUCUACUGGCGGCUCUUCUAGCAAACCGUCUGUAGAAAUGCUUUUCUACAGGCGGUUGGCUAGAAGAGCCGCCAGUAGAAAUGAUUUUCAAUUAUAUUGUUUCUAAAUUUCUAUUUUAAUUUUAGUGUUAUAUAUUGUUUGUAUAUUGAUAUUAUAUUAUGAUUAUAUUGUUUCUAAAUUUCUUUUUUAAUUUUAGUGUUAUAUAUUGUUUGUAUAUUGAUAUUAUAAUAUGAUUAUAUUGUUUCUAAAUUUCUUUUUUAAUUUUAGUGUUAUAUAUUGUUUGUAUAUUGAUAUUAUAAUAUGAUUAUAUUGUAGAUAAAUUUCUUUUUUAAUUUUAGUGUUAUAUAUUGUUUGUAUAUUCAUAUUAUAAUAUGAUUAUAUUGUAGAUAAAUUUCUUUUUUAAUUUUAGUGUUAUAUAUUGUUUGUAUAUUNNNNNNNNNNNNNNNNNNNNNNNNNNNNNNNNNNNNNNNNNNNNNNNNNNNNNNNNNNNNNNNNNNNNNNNNNNNNNNNNNNNNNNNNNNNNNNNNNNNNUAUCCCGCGCCCAGACCCUCCAAAAUUUUCUAAGUCAGAAGGCGCCACUCAGUUCAAAUCGCGACGCCGUCAGGCUGCCGAAUUUCUGCCACCGCCGCCGCCGCUCCGCCACCGGUCUCCGUCACUGUUCUGCCUCCGCACCCGACCCUGAGCCCACCAGAUAUGCAGCGCCCUCUCUUCCCAUCCGCUCGCCGCCGUAAACCUUAGCCGCCACCAGCUCCGGCGAGCUGUGCCGCCACAAGCCGAGGCAAGCGCCAUAGAGGCCUUCCCUGGUCGCGCUUUGGGGCUAGGCGUCUUCGCCUCCAUCCCUGCUUUCUUCCCCUGUGAUCAGCUUCGAAAACCGUGGCCUCUAGCGCCCGAUUCGAGAGCUCCGGCAACCUUCACGCCGUCGGGCAUGGCUGCACCGCCGUUGAAGAAGGUCCUGACAUGUGGGGCCCACACAUCAGUGACUUAGAUGAAUUUUUCUUUUGCAGGAAAUUGGUUGAUCUUUGGAAAAUCAUAGUAAAUGCUAGAAAAAUAGUAAAAUAGAAAAUAUAGACUUUUUGAAAUCCUUGUAAAAUUGUCUAUCGAGUAGAUCUAUAAUAUGGCAUGUUUUAGUUUGAAAUUUUAGUUAGGUUUUAAUUGCUUGUUGUAUUUAUCUUUUUCAUAACUGUAGUAGUAUUGCUCAAAUAAAUAUGAAAUUAUUGUGAUAUGCUUUUCAUAUGAUAUUGGAGGUCGAGUAAUUGUUUCAUGAAUUUAGGAAUAAUAGAUUAAGAGAUAUAAAAAUAACAAAUGCCCUAUGUUGCUUUUGCUCUUAUUCUUAGUAGAUUUGCAUGUUUAUAUUGUUUGACUCAGUUAAGAUGUGAAUCUUGCCUUAAGGUAAAUAUAUGAGUUGUAGUACUUUUCAUAAGCUUUCCCAAAAGCUAAACAACACAAUUUUUGGUUAAGCACAUGUGUAGUUAUAGUAUUUUUCUAGAAAAGAUGUAGCAAAUAUUUACUUUUAAUUAUUUAUAAGUCAACUAUUUAUAAGUCAACGGUUGACUUAGAUUAUUAUCUUCAGUGUUCAUACUAUACCAUAUAACAUUUCUGAUAACAUAUAUGCUUUAGAAUCUUGCAAUGACGACUUCUCCAAGUGAAAACACGGAGCAGGCACAAGGGUCCGGCCCUAUGGAGCAAGCACCAGGGUCUGGCCCCACCGUGCAAGAAAAAGGGUCAGACCACACAGAGAAGGCACCAGGGUCCGGCUCCACGGUGCAAGAAAAAGGGUCAGACUGCACCGAGAAGGCACCAGGGUACGGUCUAGCCCCACCGUGCAAGAAAAGGGGUCCGACCGCACGGAGCAAGAAAAAAGGCCCGAGCACGCAGAGAAGGAACAAGGGUCCCACAACACGGAGCAGGCAGAAGGGUCACGUGAGUCAACUCCUUCGUACGAGACCUUGGUAAGCGACAUUCCUCAUCCUCACAUAGAGAGGAACGCCCGUCGUGUGUACGCACGUGACCCCGAUUACAACCCAGAGAUAGAAGAGGUGAAUUACUCAUUCAUAAUUAUAUGUUUCUAUACUUUUAUGCGCCUCGGUAUAUGUAAAGAAUAAUACGUAUCUUUAUAUGAAUAGGAGGUGCUAUCUCAAUUGAAAGAAAUGGAGGAAAUCCUAUCCCAAGAAGAAGUUGCACAUGAAAGUGCACAUGAGCCGACGACGAAGACGACCACUGAGACCGGGAACAAAAGGAAACGAGGUGAAAGAGGAUUGAAUCAGUUCCCAAAAGUAACCUAUAGAGAUACAGAUGUCAGUGCGACUGGACAACCCUUAGCUCCAGCGGAGACCUUACCUAAGUGGCGUAACACACUCGGUUUCUUAGUUAGGGACCAUCUUGACAUCACAGUCAGGGAGUGGAAAAAUGUGGACAACAAUGAGAUCACAAGAAUGUGGAACAGGCUGCUUACGAGGUUUGUUUUACCUCAGGGUUCAGAAGACCUCGUAAAAGAGCACACAUUGAAGCAAUGGGCGAUCAUGUUUAGGAAUUAUAAGUCUGAGUUGAAUUCAAAGUGGGCAAAGAAAGGGUUGGACCCGACAAAGAGGUAUAAAAUCACGCUGGUCAGUGGGCAGUGUUUCUAGAGCAGAGGAGUUCUGAUGACUUCAAAGCUUUGAGCGAAUCCAAAUCUGAACUCGCAAAAAGGAACAAGUAACACCACCACCUAGGCACAGGUGGUUACCAGCGCAAGCUUGCCCAAUGGGAGCAAGAGGAUGAAGCGCAGAGGGCUCAGGGUUUGCCGGCGCUCCCUGACCAACUUGGUCGCAGGGGCUCGCGGUGGGUUCGUGCUCGGGUACCGGCAAAGAAAGCCAAUUCUGGCUUGUCAUUUGCUGACCUAAUGGUCGAAGAGGCUGCGAAGAAUAUUUUCAAGGUGGCAGCUAAGCAGAAAGCAGGCGAAUUUAAGCCACAAAGGGAGAAGGAUGUUCUUACUGUUGCUCUGGGUAACCCAGAUCAUCCUGGUCGUGUACGAGGUAUCUCAUCCAAAGAAGGAUGGAAAGAAGGAUUCAGACCAGAGUGGGAAGGAAUGUAUAGAAAACGCGAUCGCUACAAGGAAGAAUUGUCUAAUUUUUUUAAAGAGGAGGCUAAGAAAGAAGUCGAACAGGUGAUGAAUAAAAUGCUCUCCGAUCCUCCUCCUGAGUUGAUGCAGCGACUGGCGUCUGCAAUGUCUAGCCAAUUAAGUGGUCAGCCUCGCCAGAUGCAGCUAGUGGUCGCCCCGACAACAUCACAACAGGCUCCAGUUGUCCCAAGUAGUGUCGCGUCUACUGGAAACAAGGACCGCUAUCCAGUUGACGAGAUUGAAAGUCCUGUUCGUUGCUCCCUAGUCAUAAGGUACGGUCUUAACAAUAAUCGUACAAGGGAAGUAGCCACAGGACUUGCAAUCCCGGGGCGCCAGUUUCAUGGUAGCGAAAUUCCAGAGGACUACUGUAGGGUGGAAGUGCUGACAGUUGUCCAAGGAUAUGAGGAUGACAUGCUAGACAUUCCUGGUCCUGAGGGUAUUGAGAAGCUAGGACAAGCUAUCAAGAAUUUUAUUCUUUGGCCUCGACGAGACGUCCAGUUGUCUGAGCUACCACAACCUUCAUCCCAAGAAGUACCACUGACUCAGGAGUCGUCCCUUCCAGUUGUCAGUGGUACCAUAACUCUUCCGAGUCCACCACCCUCUCCGAUCUUCGCUCCACCAUCCUCACCUAUAAUGCCUCACCCACCAUCCCACCACCAUCACCUAAACCACAACCUUCGCCAGCACCACAAGAAUCAUCCACACCACCACCACCCAAAAAUGCCGAGACACCACCACAAUCAACCAAAGAUGACGAGACGACACCACCGCCACCAAAAAAGUUAAAAUUUUUGGUGCCCAAAUUGAUUUCUCUGUUCGAGCCAAAGAAGAGGAAGUCUGCUGGUACUGCCCUAUUUUUGUCAAGAAUUGCAAUGAGCCGCACGACAAAAUUAGUUGACUUGGCUGAGCACGAGAAGACAACGAAGAAGUCUGAACCAGCUUUUGUAAAUAUUAGACUACCCACUAAAGAUGAUUAUAAAUAUGUCCCUAAGAAAUAUGAGUUGGAUAGGCCUCUACUCACUUGGGAUAAACUUAAAAAGGUCCCAGCUGGUGUAAAAAGGUUCCAUGACUGGUAUAUGAGAGCAGCUUCUGUUGGCAUUGACACGAUCAGUGUAGAUAUACCAGCAGAGGCAUUUAAUAGUGAUCAUACAAGAGCAAUUGUGACCUUCGAGGACAUGUGGUUAAUGAUGAACCUACAAAGACUCGACGUGCAGCUCAUAACUGUGUUUGCAUUGUAAGUGUCACUCAUGCAAUGCUUUAAAUUUGUGAGUUAUUAUUUGUGAGUUACAUUAAAUUUUAAUACUAACAUACAAGUGCACGUUGCAGAAUGCAAUAUGAACAGCAACAGAUACGGUACGGUCCGGAUCCAAGCAAUAAUGCGAAUAAAAGGGUCGCGUAUAUGAGCCCAAUGAGGAUAUGUGAGGACGAGCACACUUUUAGGAUCGGAUAAGAUCAUGACUCCUUAAAAGGUUUGGAUCCAAAAGAGCAGGAGGACGAAAUAAAGAAAAGGGAAAAGAAACAAAUAGCUAGUUACGGCCUCUACCUAGCCAUGACAAUGCUAGAGUUUCAAGACAGGGAAUUAAUAUCCGCACCAUAUCACUUUAGGUAAGUGUCAGUUUGCAUGCAUCGUAUUAAUAGUUAAAAUGCGCACUUUGAUCACAAAGUUCAUUCUCUCAGGGACCACUGGAUCUGCUUAAUGAUUAAUCCCAAGCAUGGACGUGUGCAUGUCCUAGACUCCGCAGACUAUGAACCAACAACUUAUAUACCAUUCAUUUCUCUCUUAGAAUGGUAAGCUAAGUAAAAUAUGCAUACAAAAUUUUAUAAGAGUUUGACAAUAACUUGCAGAAUGUUUUUGAUAUCAUAGGGCCUAUAGGUAUUAUAAGAUUAAAGGGGGAAAGUGCGAGUCAGGAAUACAGGGGCAGCCUUUGAGGUUCUUACGUAUGAAAGUUUACCAAGUUAUUCUCGCUAGCUAUAUACAUAGAAUACGCAUCAUGUUGCAACUCACAAAUAUGCUCUUUUUCUUUAUAUAGUGUCACAAGCAACCACUAGGAUCGGUCCACUGUGGAUUCUACGUAUGUGAGUUCAUGAGAGAGGGCGGAAGAUAUAUGACUAACCCUUAUAAGGUAAUUAAUGCUCUAAGUAAUUAAGGUUGUUAAUUAUGUAUUAUGAACAUUAAUAAAUAUAUGAUGUUUUCUAACUUCCUGUGCAGCAAAAAGACUUUGAAAAGGCGAAAAGCAUGAGUGAAGCCACUUUAUACAACAUAGUUGAGGACCUCUGCAAAUUCAUGUUGCGAGAAGUCAUUCCUAGCGAAGGGAAAUAUCACGAUCGGACCAGCGCCAUAGCAAAGCCUGAAUACGGAGCGCUAAGGGAGAUUAGUAGGCUAAAGCUAACUCGAUCCGGUUAUUAGAGCAGAGGUUUCAGAGGUGAAACCUCUAAUGCAUGUAACAGAAAAAACUUGAUGUGUGAUCAUGUUUGUAAUUAAUGUAACCUUAUGUAUAAAGUAACAGUAUAUAUAUAAAUGAAUUGCAUGUUGCAAUGGUUUACAUGAUCUCUAGGCUUCAGUAGUUUGAAAAUUAUGUAUAUAUAUAUAUAUGUUGUAUGUACAUAUUAAAAUAUAAAAUGAAAAAAGGGUCUGGUGGGAAAAUUUAGAAUUAGGCGGGAGAUUUAAAAUUUUUAACACAGGCGGUUAUAUAAUGAGAACCGCCUGUAGAAAGUUCAUUUCUACAGGCGGGUUGCAUAGCUGAACCGCCUGUAGAAAUCUAUUUCUACAGAUGGUUUCUAAGUUACCCGUCUGUGGAAACUCUUGAUUUCCACAGGCACCCAGCGCAGGCGGUUCUCCAAACCGCCUGUGAAAAGGAGUUGGGAACCGCCUGUAUAGUGCUUCUAUGUACUAGUGUCCGCCUCUGCCACCUCACCCGCCGCAGUUUCCAUCUCGUGCUGUGUCGUCGCGACCCCGUCCUCCUUGGGGAAAUGUGCGCAGAGCUACCAAGAACGAGGAGGAAAUUUGAGCGAGCGACUCUAGCGUCCCGCCGCCGCCGCCACCAUGGUGGUGCUCGCCUCACUCUCGUCUCUGUGCCCCUACAACAUUGUCUGCCUCCGUGCUGCCUCUGCUUCCACCACCUCAUUCACUGCAGUUUCCAUCUCGACCCUGUCCUCCUAGGGAAAAGGUGCGCAGAGCUACCAAGAAAGAGGAGGAAAUUUUGUCUCUUUUGUGUAUUUUUCUUUGGUUUGAUAGACUUUGAUUUAAGUCUGAUUUGGAAGAGGAUUCUUUUCUUUGUGUUUGUCUUGUGUCCCAUCCCUCUGUUAUAAGUAGCCAGGAGAUAAAAAAACUCCAAACCAAAAAAAGGUAGAAAUUUUGCCUCUUUAUUAUUAUUAGGUAUAGAUAUAUAUAGAAUAGGCAAUCUCAAAGCAGUUGGUUAAACAAAUUAAUUGUUUUAUUAUUUUGCAUCUAGGUUCUGCCUGGGCUUAGCCCGUCCAAGCAUAGACUGUUGACGGUCCUUAAGUAUCAAAUUUAAUUAUCAAAUAAACAAAGAAAAGGAUCCAAAUGAAAUCAACAUCUAGACUUAGGGUUUUAUCUGACAGAAUUCCACGAGUUUUGGUGUUUGUCUAUUUCUGCAGGGGGUUAUCAGGAAAUAAGGAAGAAAGGCCCACAUGUCGGGAUUACAUAGAGAUAUCAACCCACCGCGCAAUUUUCUACCAUCUAGAAGACUCCAGAAGCCACGGGAAGGAAGCGGAGCCCGAAAGGGGCCAGGCCCAGGGCGCCCGCCCUGGUAGCCUGGGCGCCCGCCCCCCUGUUGGAGCCAAAUCAGGACUCUUUCGCUCGGGAUAUUCCACCAACCUAUUGGAUCAAGAAAAACAUAGUACCACCUCACCUAUCGACCCAAAAAUGCAUAGAAGGGGAGGACUAUAUAAGCAAGGCCCCCUGGCCCCUGGAAGAGACAAGAAAUUAUCAUAGAGAUUGAGGGGUGCCCUCGAAGGAAAACCUCUUCUCUAAAUAAUAUUUCUUUUUAGGCUUAGCAACCAAUGUAAAGUAGAAAUAGAUCUUCUAGUUUCUACUAGAUUGAGAGAGAUAGAGUGGAGGUGUGGAUCGGAGGAAGGCUGGCCUGUCGGUGUCUACUCCGAGUUGUACCUACAGGAUCAAGUCUCCUAACCCGAGGCUUGCUUCUAAGAUUCUUCAGUAAUUCGACUUCUAAUACUAGUAAGUUCUUGUUUUAUUGUUCUUUGGUUUAUGAGUUUACUUUAAUUCUCUUCCGGUUGAGUAUUAGAGUAAUCACUUGCUAGCGUAAACGUGGUGUUUAGGCUAGGGUACUCAUAGAUAUCCCCUGACUAGCUGGACCGUGGUAGUAGCGAGGAACGUGACAUUUCCGAGUUACCUUUGCAGAUCACAUCUCGUUAGCAGGACGGGUAGGUUUAUAGGUGCAGGUCGAACAUCCUUUGUGUUGUCUAGAUUCCGUGAGCCUCCCCAAUAGAACAGUAGAUCAUCCUUACCAAGGUUAGAACGAGACUACAGUUGCAGUCUUCUCUAUACAUCACUCACAUCGAGAAACAUUCUUUGUAGCCUAAAGGGGUAGUAGCAAUAGAUUUGGUUAGUCAAAUGCACCCUUUCUCCCAGUGGUAAAAAUAUAAAUACGAUACUCUGGAAAACCUCCCGGGUGAAAUGCUCACCGAUAUCCGUGCGCUUGCGGAUCAUUUUCUAAUUACGUUACCAAAUAUCAACAAGCAUUUCUGGCGCCGUUGCCGUGGAGAAAGACGGUUUGCUGAGAUAACUUUGAAUCUUGCUAUUAUCUUGUAUUAUACUUUUAUACUUUUAUUCUUUUAUCUUUUUAUUUUUAUCUUUAUGGAUAACUCAAAUUCCAUACCUAUUAUUAAAUUCCUUGCACCUUCGGAGACCAGCCAUAGACCAUGGGAGUCAACACGUCCUGCCCCUAAUUAUGAUCUGUGUCCGGAGUUGAUUGCAAUAGGUCAAAACCAACCCUUUUCUAUAGCUGAGGUCCUAUCUUUUAAUCAAGAAGAUAAUGCACUUUUAGCUACACCUAGGGAAUCUUUUAAUCUUUCUAUAAAUUCUGGUUUAGACCUAGCCCUACAAGACCAUGUUUUUCCUAAAUAUUUUCACAUUGGUCUUAAUCAUAUAACCUUUGGUAGAGUCCUUCUUUCUUUAUCUAUUAGUGGAGGAAGGUAUGUCUACAUUUGUGGACAUCCUUCUUGCACUAGUCUUCAUAGAAAAAUCUUAGAGAUAGAGAAGGAAUCAUCUCCCAGACAAGGAAAGGAAGUUUCAAUAGCCGAUUUCCAAACAUUCCAAUCCCAUGAUUCGGCUAUCCAACCCAUCCUUGAACUUAAUAAUUUCUACUAUGCUCUUUCUCUUGAACCUCCCGAUGAUCCUAUGAAUCUAUCUAGACAGCCCAUGCAUAAAGGUCACCAAGACCGCAAGGAGGAUCGAGAAGAGCAACAUCAAUGGCUAGAGGGCAAAAAUCCAUGUGCUAUCACCAUUGAAUGGAUAGAUAAAACAAACUUGAGAGACAAUCCUAGAGGAAUUUUAAACAUUCAUGAAGAAUCAACCUUGGAGUUUGAGAAUGAGAGAAACAACAGUGAGCAUGGAAGUUAUUUCAUAAAUACCACACCAAGCCCUUGCUCAUAUAAAACAUCUCCUCAAUCAAUUGGUCUCUCCAACAUCACCAUAUUUGAGAUCUCCAACCCUCUCUUCUUUUCUAUUUAUAAAAACUUUAAAAGGGCGGUUGUCGAUGCAUAUGUCUAUAAUAAAUAUUGCAGAUCUCGUUUAGUUAAUUGAUGGUUCCCCAAGGACAAGCUUAGUGUCCUAAAACAAGCACUUCUAAUUAUUUGCAACAUUGCCUUGUGUAUUGAGCAUAUAAAGAUAAUUGUAGAAAUAUUCCUUCGGGUAUUCUUGCCACUAACCUUUCUAGGAUUGGAGCAAGAAGAUCGGAUGAAUGACAAGCGCAAGGUAUGCCCAACCAAUCAUCAUGCAACAUUAAAUUAAAUUCAUUCAAUCUUGAAUUUUGCAAAAUUCAAGCUUGGAGGAGUACUUUACAUAAAACAUCCUUUGCCAUGUUGCUAUGUUGGUUGUCCUUACCUUUGAGACAUGCUCAAUUUGUUAAAUACUAAUCACACUACUUCAUCUCCACUUGAGUAGAUCUCUAUAAAAGCCAUCAUGCUACCUUUGUUUAUCCUAGUAAGUGUUAGUUUGGAAGUACUGGUGACACUUCCAAUGGCAUUUAAAUUAAGCGUGGUGCUUAGGUUAAAUAGCCUUCCUUAAUCUGAUUAGACAUGGAGUCUAGUUUGGUUACUGAACUAAAAACUGCUUGAGUAGAUAUUGGUAUAUUUUGUUGGACUAACCCCUGCAGGAACACUUUCAAUAUCAACCUGGGAAGUCCUGAGAUGCAAACUCAUUAGAGAUGAAGAAAGUGACACAUGAAGUUUAACAAUUUGCACAAGAAAGACGUAGCUCAUAAGAGAUGAUUCAUGGAGGGUGCCACAAACACGAUGCACAACCACUAAGAAAGGAAAGCUUCCACAAGGUGAUACUAUACCAUCACUCUUCAAUAACAUCUUAAAGUACUUGAUUAUCACUUUUAUAAGUUCUCCUUGGUUCUGGCAUACACAUGAAUAAAAGAGACAAACAUGUAUGAUUUAUAACACCAAAUUAACCAACUCAAUUAAUUCAACAUGUUUAGUCCUUUAAUCUUUGUUCUUAGUACUACCUUCGUGACCCCACACUCCUAAUCAUAUAAGCUAAAGUAUUGCACAUUCAAUCUUUGGAAGAUAUAAACAAAACAUAAAUAUAGAUAGAUUAUCUUUCCAUUAGGUUGAGCCAUCUGAUCUGACAAAUGCUACACUCAUGAUCCAUCAACUUUGUCUUGCUCACUAUGCUUAAGGUUAGAGAAGAACAAAUACACUUUUGGUUCUGUUGGUGUUUUCCACCAACAGGGCCCAUGCACUUGAUCUCUACCUUGUCUCUAUGAGCAGGAACACUUCGAGCAUAAUAUGAAGGAGUUUUACAACUCCCAGAUUCCACCAAGUGAAGAACUAGGAUCUACGAGCACAAACACACUGGAGAUACUGGACGCUCAGGCAAUCACUGCCUUAAGAUGCUUGAGGACGUGAACUACAUCAACAACAAUAACAACUAUUACUACAACUGUCCUCAACAACAUCAAGGUUGGAAUCAACAGAGGCCUAAUUACUCAGAGAGGUGAUCUAGGACGUCCCGUCAUCCCGAUCUCCAUCGGCAUGGUGGACUUCCCAGAAGCACUCUGCGACUUUGGCUCCAGCGUCAACAUUAUGCCCAGGGUUGCAGAUCGGACACUCAGUUUCUCAAAGGAAAUAUUGAAGAACCUCUGCGUCCGAGUUGGUACCUUGUAUGCUCUAGCAGACUUCAUGGUGAUAGAGACUGGUACUGAGGAGAGGGCACCCAUCAUCUUAGGGAGAUCAUUCCUAAACACUAGAGUUGUCAUCUACGCUAAUGCUGCCAAGAUCAGUCUCUACAUCAAGGGGAAGAAGGAGACUUUCCUUCAAGAACAAGACUACACAAACUUCAGAGCAACCCCGACAUGAACCAAGGAAGAGGACCAACAGGAGGAACAGGAACAAGCAAAUGUGGACCGAGUCAGCUAAGAUGGUCACUGCAGUUCAAGAAGGACGACCCUGGUGUUCUAAGCAUUGAGUGCACAAUCAACAGAUACUCUUUUCAGAAGACACUCUACGACACCGGAUCUGACGUCAACAUAAUGGCCGUAGUCACUUAUCAGCUCCUGCAUGAAAUCAUGCCCCUACAACCAAUAUACAUUCAGCUAUAGAUGACUUUCAAGUUAUUGACAUGGGAGAAGAUGAAUAUGAUCCACCCACCAUCCUUGGAAGACAGUUCCUCAGCACUAUCAAAGCCAUCAUCUAUAUUGGAACCGGAGAAGUCCACAUACACUUCUCCUCUGAGAAGGUAUGCCGCUGUUUUACUGACCCUAACUAUAUAGUUGAAGACUCUAAGCAGGUCAGGACAAGAAGAAGACAUCGCAACCGCAACCAGAGGAGGCAAAUCAUCAAGGACGGAUGGGUAGACUACGAAGGAGAAGUGAUAAGGACUGAAGACAUACCACUUGAACAUAACUGUCCUGAGGAGACCAUAGCACCAAGUCAGGUGUGGAGAGAGAAUAUAGUUACACACGAAGAGGAGGCGCCACCGGAAUCACCGACUACGUCAUCCAGCGAAUCCCAGGACGAUUAAGAAAAUGGAGAGUCCCGCUCGGAGGACUUAAAAACACCGAACGCCUUGCCAAGAGGUAAACUUGGUAGUUAUCCUUUCCCUUUUAAUUAUUUCAAAUAGUUUACUUAGUUAAUCAUGUUCGUAUUAUCCUAGAAAGAAAAUAAAAAUGUGAAAAAAACUGUAAGCCCCAUGUGAGUAGACGAGUGGCAUAAAACGCAUAAGUACAUUCACUGUGGUGGCAUAAAAAUAAAAUAAAUAUUUUUCUGCUUUAUAAAAACAAAAAUAUAAAAAUAGGGAGUAAUAUUUAUUAAGGAGUCUCAACAUGAUAAAGGCUAGAUAUUUAUGCUAACACUUAACCAGUUCCACAAGCUUUGUUGUCUAUUUGAGCUCCACAGAAUUUAAGAAUCAAGAAGACUAGCAGACGGAGGACAUUCUAAUCGCUGUCAAAAUACUGCUGACUUUCAAACACACCUCUGCCACCUGCUAGCUACAUGAAGAGAAAUUACGUCAAAAUCCAGCUUGGGGGAGAGCACCCCCAUUUAUCUCGAUAAGUAUUUCUAUCUAUCUUUAUACUUAUACUAUAUUAAAAUAAAAAUACACAUAAACUAUGGAAAACCAAAUAAAGAUUUUAUGCUGAUAUAUAUGUCUUUUGCUUAGUGUGUUUAAUAAAUAAAUAAAGUGGCUAUGCUAAUCUAUAUCUAAUAAAACUUAAGCAUGGAUAUGAUGAAUAGUUACUCUACCUAAUUUGCAAAUUUGAAGUUCUCUCUCAAGUUUAGAUAUAACUGUUAUAAUUUAAGGCUUGCUCUAGACCUAAACUUGUGGGAUGAAAACUUGAUCUGAAGUCUAAGUUGUUAACGGAUACGAUAUGGGAAGGUUGAGCUGCUGUUCAUCUGUUCCUAGAGAUGCUAGAAUUCUGGAGAAUUUUAUGUUUAAAAAAUCUUUAAAAUAACACAUGAUGAGUUCCUGUAUGAUGAGAGUUUAAAUUCCUACCACAGCCAUAUAUACAUGAUUGCUAGACCAUGAGCCACACAUUUACUAUUUACUGCUUAUGAGCAUUGAGUGUGGUCAAGCUGUGUAGACCCUUAGGAGCUUGUCAUGUGGUUAAAUCAAGAUUCACUUGCACGUUCACUCAUACAUGCUACUUCUACUCCGGAAGUACCAUCCACAUAUAUCCACUCAUUUCCAUCUCCAAAACCACCCAAAAGUAUUCUACUCCUAAUCCGGGAGAGAAUAACCAAAAAUAUUUUUGUUUCCCCUUGUGAAAUAAAUGCUCAAGUUAUCUUGUUACUACCACUUGCUAUAUUAUCUCAAGAGAUGAAUGCUCUGAAAAAAAAAGAAGAGAAAAAAAAAGAGAUACGAGGAAAUAAAAAGGAGCAAGUGCUCGGAACCUCGAAAGAAAAGAAAAAGUGAGACGAGAGGUAAAAAUGGACAAGUGUCCGACAUUAGCAAUUAGGGGUACAAGAUACCCACCUGAGAGAAAAGAAAAAGAUGAGCAUCUCAUUCUCAUCAUAAAGUUUCAAAAGCAAGGAAGGUAUGUAUCCCCUCAAAGAGCAAAGUAGAAUUAGACUUCCACCUCCAUUGUUUUCACCAUUGUUAUCACCAUCAUCACCAUACACCAUUCAUUCGCCACACAUGCACAUCUUGAUUUGGCUUAUUGAUUUGUUACUUUGGAUCCAUGGUUUGACUAUGCAAUAAAUGUCUUGUAAGUAUGUAUACUUUAUCUCCCACCUAUGAGCUCCAGAUAUUAAAGCCUUAUUAGAGUAGGGUGAGAGAGAAGACAAUGUCACUAUGCUUCAUACCACAAAUACUACAUAUCUUGAGAGAAGGCAUAUACCAUCACUGCCUUGGUAAGGAUCCAAAAAUACCACAAAAGAGAGAUCUGAGAGAGUCAUAUAAGGAAUCUCUGAGUUUUAUUUGAAAAUCUGCAAAAACCCCAGAGCUAUAGCUAAUCAAGAAUAAGAGACAUGGCACUUGGCUAGUCUGUUCUAUCUUUUAACCACUCAAGACAGAAGUGACGGUUACAAGUCCUAUGGUGUAGGUAAAGUAAGUAAGUUUUAAGUCUUAACAGUUUAUUCUAACUCAGAGAUGAGAUCUUGCUUAAAUGCGUGUAUACUUCUAAGAAAUGAAACCACUGCAGAAACUCUUGAGUUCAUCCUUGCUCAGGGACGAGCAAGAGGUAAGCUUGGGGGAGUUUGUUGACGGUCCUUAAGUAUCAAAUUUAAUUAUCAAAUAAACAAAGUAAAGGAUCCAAAUGAAAUCAACAUCUAGACUUAGGGUUUUAUCUGACAGAAUUCCACGAGUUUUGGUGUUUGUCUAUUUCUGCAGGGGGUUAUCAGGAAAUAAGGAAGAAAGGCCCACAUGUCGGGAUUACAUAGAGAUAUCAACCCACCGCGCAAUUUUCUACCAUCUAGAAGACUCCAGAAGCCAUGGGAAGGAAGCGGAGCCCGAAAGGGGCCAGGCCCAGGGCGCCCGCCCUAGUGGCCUGGGCGCCCGCCCCCCUGUUGGAGCCAAAUCAGGACUCUUUCGCUCGGGAUAUUCCACCGACCUAUUGGAUCAAGAAAAACAUAGUACCACCUCGCCUUUCGACCCAAAAACGCAUAGAAGGGGAGGACUAUAUAAGCAAGGCCCCCUGGCCCCUGGAAGAGACAAGAAAUUAUCAUAGAGAUUGAGGGGUGCCCUCGAAGGAAAACCUCUUCUCUAAAUAAUAUUUCUUUUUAGGCUUAGCAACCAAUGUAAAGUAGAAAUAGAUCUUCUAGUUUCUACUAGAUUGAGAGAGAUAGAGUGGAGGUGUGGAUCGGAGGAAGGCCGGCCUGUCGGUGUCUACUCCGAGUUGUACCUACAGGAUCAAGUCUCCUAACCCGAGGCUUGCUUCUAAGAUUCUUCAGUAAUUCGACUUCUAAUACUAGUAAGUUCUUGUUUUAUUGUUCUUUGGUUUAUGAGUUUACUUUAAUUCUCUUCCAGUUGAGUAUUAGAGUAAUCACUUGCUAGCGUAAACGUGGUGUUUAGGCUAGGGUACUCAUAGAUAUCCCCUGACUAGCUGGACCGUGGUAGUAGCGAGGAACGUGACAUUUCCGAGUUACCUUUGCAGAUCACAUCUCGUUAGCAGGACGGGUAGGUUUAUAGGUGCGGGUCGAACAUCCUUUGUGUUGUCUAGAUUCCGUGAGCCUCCCCAAUAGAACAGUAGAUCAUCCUUACCAAGGUUAGAACGAGACUACAGUUGCAGUCUUCUCUAUACAUCACUCACAUCGAGAAACAUUCUUUGUAGCCUAAAGGGGUAGUAGCAAUAGAUUUGGUUAGUCAAAUGCACCCUUUCUCCCAGUGGUAAAAAUAUAAAUACGAUACUAUGGAAAACCUCCCGGGUGAAAUGCUCACCGAUAUCCGUGCACUUGCGGAUCAUUUUCUAAUUGCGUUACCAAAUAUCAACAUAGACCCAGGUGUAAAACCCUAGGUGUUUGCCACUAGUUAGACCCUAGGUUUUGAGAACAAACAUGACAAGUUUAAUGGUAACAAAGAGGUUACAGUCAACCUAUGAAAAGAAUCAACGAAGCUGUCACUAUCGCGUACUACCACACAACCCGGCCAAUAGGAUACAUUUGCAGGUAAAUAACAUCUAAGCACCACGCCCACAUAUGAUCUACCACUUAACUCCCUCGCGUCAAGAGCUAAGCGCUUUGCAAACAUAUACAUAAACUCAUUAUCAAUCAUAACUAUAUCAAAUAACUAGAGCAAACUAAGAACAUGAUAAAUAAAGACAUAAUGCAAUUAGAACAAAAUAUUAGAGAAAGAUAUGAAUAAUACCAAUCUUUAUUACCGAAGAUCCGAAUCCAGAGCGUAGUGCUCUACUUCUCUAAUUGCUAUCUAAUCAAACCUCUAAACUUGAAGGAUUAGGGAGUAGCUAAUUCUAAUUCUCUAUGGGAGAGAAGCUCUAAACCCUAACUUUGAUGGCUACCUCUGAAUAAUGAUUUCUUCUCUUCUCCUCUCUCUCCCAGGGGUGGAGAGGCCUUGGUUAUAUAGUCCUUUCAAGUGAAUUUGGGACGUUGUAUCAAACCGACAUUGAUUGUAUGGUUUAGAUUCAUCCUCUAGGUCGGUGGAGUUUAGUCCCAAAAGAGAGUCCUGAUUGGACUCCUGGCCAGGGCGGGCGCCCAAGGGGGGUGGGCGGGCGCCCACCCCCGAGCCCGUUCGGUCUCCCAUUUGUUCCCGUGGCUUCUGGACUCUUCUAGAUUGAGGAAAAUUGCGCAGCACGUAAUUAUCUCGUUGUACACAUGACAUGUGGGUCUUCUCUCUAUAUUCUCUAAUAACCCCCUGCAGAAAUAGAUAAACACCAAAGCUCGUGGAAUUCUGUCAGAUAAAACCCUAAUUCUAGAUGUUUGGUGCAUAUUGAUCCUUUUGCAUGUUUAUUUGAUUAUUAAUUUUAGUACUUAAGGACCGUCAACAAACUCCCCCAAGCUUACCCUUUGCUCGUCCCUGAGCAAACAACUAAACUUAGACGGAUCAGGAGUUGCUUCGAUGUAUUCUUUCCUGACAGGCACACAUGCUUUUACAUAAAAAUUCUUCCAGAUUAGAGUGAAGUGUUAUGGAGCUUAGUACCUGCACUUGAGUCUUAAGUAAUUGAAAGACAAAAUAAUUAAGUCAAGCACUAUUCCUCCUGUCUAUACUUCACCUUUGUUCCAGAGUUUUUCAUAAGUUUUCAAAAUAAAACUCACAGUUCCCAGCAAUGAUUCUCUCAAGUCUCUCUAUAUGUGGUAUUUGUGGAUCCUUACCAAAAUGUCACUUACCUAUAGCUAAUGGAAUAUUUAAGUGGAGCUCAUAGGAGUGAAAAACUGCUCAUACAUAUGUUGUCUAAUCGAGCCAUGGAUCCAAAGGAACUUAGCAUAUAUUUAAAUCAAGAUGUGCAUGUGUGGUGGAGUAAAUGAUAGUAAUGGUGAAAAUGUAUAAGUGAUAAUAAAGCUUACUUCUCAUUGCUCCUUAUAUUGCUAUAUCUCCUCUUCUUUGAUCUUUGCUUUGGGAGAACAUGGGCUAUCUUUUUCUUUCCCUUUUUUCAGAUGGGUAGUAGAUACCCCUAAUUCUACUCCAGACACUUGUCCAUUUUUGCCUCUCAUCUCACUCUUUUUCUUUCUUUUUCGAGGUUCCGGGCACUUGCCCCUUUUUAUUUCCUCGCAUAUUUUUGCAUAACCCAUGCCUCUUCUGCAUUGAAUAUUUUUAGAGAGAGAGAAUAACAAUACUUGGGACCGUGAGUGAUAAUAUUUUUAGUAAUUUUAAUGAAUGGUGAUGGAUGGUGUGGUAGAUGUGUGCAAGUGAAUAUCUUAAUUUAACCACAUGAAAAGCUCCUAAGGGUCUACACAGCUCGAUCAAACUCAAUGUGAAUAUAGUAAAAGAUGUUAUAGCAAGUAUGGCUGUGGUAGGUAGUUUGUAAUGCUAGGAACUCAUCAUGUGAUUUGUAAGUUAUCAAAAUAAAUAUCCAGAACUUAGUGUAGUAGGAACAAGAUAAACAGCAGCUCAAACUUUAUGUCAUGCCAUUCUCGUACCUAGACUUUUAGUUUUAUGUUUCCCAUAGAUAGUAAUUUCAGUUUUAGUAAUUCCUGGAAGAACUCUAAUAUAAAAGCUAGGUACUUGAAAGUAAGCAAACAGAGCAACCAUUCAUCAUUUCCAUCAUACAUCUUUUUGGUCUUUUUAUUUUUCUAGAGAUUAAACUUAGCAGAUAAAUAAAGCACACUUAUCUACACACUCUUUUUAUAUUGUUUUUAUGUUUAUAAAAUGCAGUAAAAUAAAGCAAGAAAAUAUUUAUUAGGUUUUCUAAGUUUUUCUCUAUAAGAUAAAUAAAACACUUAAACAGAAAAGAAUAAAUAAGAAGAGCAAAUAAAAACUUACUUGAUAAAUUGGGGAGGAACUCCCCCAAGCUGGAUGUUGAUGUCGGUUUUACCUGAUGUUCCAGAACCACAUCAUGGUUGUGAUGUUGUCGUUCAUUGUUGUUGUAUCUUGUCUCAGCUAUUGUACUGCAGUGGCGUGGUCCUGGUUCCAUUUUUGCUAUUCUUCGAGGAGUCGUCCAUGUUCUGCUUGCGUGUUCUGGAUGUCGAGGAGGGUGUUGUCAGUACGGGUGAAGAAAGCGCCGGCCUCUUGGUAGUAGUCAUUCGUGAAAGCAUAGGAGGCGGAGGUCUGGAUCCUGAAGCUCCAUAUGGAUCAGUGGAGUACGUGCCCGUAUGAAAAGGCGGGUUUGUCCACUGGUGAUCUUGGCUCUCCGACCAUAUCUCUUCUGUUGGCUCUUGUGGUUGCGCAUGUCGAACCCAUGGGUCUCGAAGGACUCGGGGGUUGUUGUCGCAAUAAUGCAGGUGUGCUGCUUCUUCUGGUCCGAGAUCAGCUCCAUACCAGGUGCGUUCUCGAUGGGUGGUCAUUCUUUCAGAUGUCACUCGUUGUGGAGCUCUCUGAUUCACCGGUGUUGCUGCAAUCUCAAUCGAAAAAUUUUGAACAACGUAGAGGCCAAGGUUCGGGUUAGGUAACCGAAUCUUGCCUUUAUCAUCAUAUAGCAUAUACAUUAUAUUCCCCUCUUUCUUUAACAUCCGAGCUUGUCUGAAUGUGUCAUAGCCAUGAUAAAUUCUUAACUCAUCUAUGAAGUCCAACGAUGAGUUUUCUAGCGAAUGAAGAUUAAAGGCUAGACGAGUGAUAAAAGAAGUACAUCCUACUGGUCCCUGAAGACUAGGUACACUAAGCCAAUGAGAAACUAAAAGUGUAACAGGUGGAGUGGGUACUUUAUUAAUAGCAGCAUAUAAAAGUUGCAAAUCUCCUACUCUUACUUUCCUAAUAUCAUCACGAUAGAAAAGAUUAUACCCAAGCCAUUUGUGAAACAUCCUAAGAGUGGGGUGUUCCAUGUCACUGGUUCGGGCUUGACUAUAAAAAUUAUCUCUAGAUAUUUCUCUCCAAAACUGGUGUCUCUCAAAGUUAGGUAGGUCGGAGUCAAUGUUCAGGAUGCAUCUUAAAGAGAAACCAAGAUGGUCGCUUAGUUCUCUCCAAGACAACAUAAUCUCCUGUUUGAACAUCCAAAAAACAAUUCCCCCUCAUAAUAUUGUAAGGUGCACAGAAAUUCGAGGGUGAGAUGACGAGAACCUAGCUCAGUUAUAUUCCAAAAAUUUGUCCGACCUAUCAUCUCGAAAAUUAAGUCGAAUUCAGUGUCCAUACCUGUUUCUUGUACUAAGAUUGGAUCGAGAGUAGGGGUGUGAAUGAAAUCUUUGUUCUUCAAUUGCUGAUAGACUUCCUUCUCCCUUCGGGUCUUCAGUCCUAGGUCUCCUAUCUUGAGAAGGACCUUGACUUGCUGAUUAGAUGAAGAUGACGGAGCCUGUGUGGGUGUCGGGUCGACGCUCAUCUCUGAUGGGUGUGAGGAGUGUCAGGAUGAACUCCUUGUACCAAUGUUCUUUAGAGCCUUUCCUGCGUUCUUCACCUUCUUAAACAUCCUCUAAACAAAAGUUGACAAAAACACAACUAGUGGAAAAUGUGAGAGAAAAUGUUAGUGGUCAGCUGUCCGGAAUGUCAGUAGUCCAGGGGGUUAGUCGUUCAAGACAAAUUUCUAUUUUGGCAGAACCUCCCCCUAAACAACUUUUAUUUUCGCUUGGACAGCGGGAUCACUCCUUACUAGGUGAAACUCACUCUCUCACUCAAAUACUACCAACUACUCUUCUCUUCUUCUCUACUCUCUUCUCACUUCACUACAAGAGCUCCUUCUCUGGAAACUGAAACUUGUGUGGUUUUCUGGAUUGCUUGUGUGGAGAGGAUGGAGGUAGAAGGUGGCUAUUUAUAGGAGGAAGAGGGGGCAGGGCGGGUGCCCUUGGUAGGUGGGCGGGCACCCACUUGUGGUGCCCAUCCUGGCUGCCCUUUCUCCACUCCUUUCUCUGCUUAAUUCUCACGCAAGAUAAUGGAUCAUGGGUGGUGGUUGGCCGGUGGAAAAGUGCUGGUUAGUGGAGAUAUGUUGGUGGAUCAAAUAAUGUGAUGGGAUGUAUGUGAGGUGUGGUGUAUGACAUGUGGGACCGAAGGAGUGUGGGUCAUGCUUCUAGAAGGUUGCUAUAAUUUAAUGCAGUAAAAUCUAUGAGAAUUGAAACUUAUUCAAAAUGAUAAUGGAAAAUAUUUUUGUGCCUCCACAAUAAUUAAUAAAUAUGGGUUGUUACACACCAUAACUAUUAUUUAUAUGGGGCUUUUCAUUAUUAUAAUAAUGCUAUGAAUAAAUAUGACUAAUGCAAGAAUUAAUUAUGCAAGAAUUCAAACAAUGUGGAUAAAUACCGAUUUACCGCCCAGCGAGGGUUUGGGAUUUUUAGGUCCCCCAAGCUGGACCUCCAAAUCUUUUAAUCUUCUGAAUUACCUUCCUCUGGAGAUGGUGUCUCCAGUGGUUCUUCUUCAUGAACUUCCUUCAUUGUAGAGUCUCUCUCUGGUCUGGGCUUAAAUGUGAAGUGUUCUUCUUUUCCGUUGAUGUUGAACUUGAUUUCUCCUUUCCCGACAUCAAUGUGGGCAUUGGCAGUGCUCAGAAAUGGCCUUCCAAGGAUGAUGGACACUUUUGAGUCAGGACUCAUGUCCAGUACUAUGAAGUCUUCUGGCACAAGGAAAUAUCUGAUCUUGACUGGAAUGUUCUCGGCGAUACCCAACGAAUGUCCAACCAAUUGAUCUGCUAGUUGUGGGCACAUUGAUGUUGGUUCUAGGGUCGCAUGCUCAAGAUUUUUGUAGACUGAUGCUGGCAUCACACUGACACUUGCUCCGAGAUCACAAAGUGCAUUGUUGAAGUAUUGGUUUCCAAUCGAGCAAUCAAUAGUGGGGCAUCCUGGAUCCUUCUUCUUCCUUGGUGGUAUAUUGAGGAUGGCCACACUACAUUCUUCUGUCAGCUUGAUAACCUCAGUGGUGGGCAGUGGUCUCUUCUUGUUAAGAAUAUCUCUAAUGUACUUUGCAUAUGUAGGUACUUGUAUGGCAUCAAGCAGAUGUAUGUUGACAUAUAAUUUCUGAAUGACCUCUACAAACUUACCAAACUGCUCAUCCGACUGCAGUCCUCUAUUUCUUCUGGGAAAUGGCAAAUAGUUGGUGUCGUAAAAAUCUUUCCUCAUUUCUCCAGUUCUUGGUGGUUGUAGUAGAUCUUCUGCUU